rnacentral:rRNA from 1 species
AAUCAACGCUGGCGGCGUGCCUCAGACAUGCUAGUCGAACGAUUAAGACUCCCUUCGGGGAGUGCAUAAAGUGGCGCACGGGUGAGUAACACGUAAGUAAUCUGCCCUCGAGUGGGGAAUAACACCGGGAAACCGGUGCUAAUACGGCAUAAUGCAGCGGCACCGCAAGGUGACAGUUGUUAAAGGAGCAAUCCGCUUGAGGAGGAGCUUGCGGCAGAUUAGCUAGUUGGUAAGGUAAUGGCUUACCAAGGCUACGAUCUGUAACCGGUCUAAGAGGACGGUCGGUCACACUGACACUGAAUAACGGGUCAGACUCCUACGGGAGGCAGCAGUCGGGAAUUUUGGGCAAUGGGCGAAAGCCUGACCCAGCAACGCCGCGUGAAGGAUGAAGUAUUUCGGUAUGUAAACUUCGAAAGAAUGGGAAGAAUAAAUGACGGUACCAUUUAUAAGGUCCGGCUAACUACGUGCCAGCAGCCGCGGUAAUACGUAGGGACCAAGCGUUGUUCGGAUUUACU